GAAUGCGAUGUUGAUGGUUUUGCCAUGUGGCUUUUUCGGUUAACGAGGAGGUAAUAGCUUCAUAAAAGGCAGAAGGUGGCUGGUGGCUUUUGUUCGCUAGUGUUUAUUAUGUUUAACUUCUAGCAUGAUGUUAUUUCAUAUUCAUCUAUAAAAUUAUGAUUUAAAUCAGGGCCAUAGAAGCUCACGGCUGAAGCUACGGCUGUUCUUCACGCAAUUCGUCACGCCAUCGCUCUUGGAAUUUUGACAA